rnacentral:rRNA from 1 species
UACGUAGGGCGCAAGCGUUGUCCGGAAUUAUUGGGCGUAAAGAGCUCGUAGGCGGCUUGUCACGUCGGUUGUGAAAUCCCUGGGCUCAACCUGGGAACUGCUUCCGAGACUGUACGACUCGAGAUCGGUAGAGGGCGGUGGAAUUUCCGGUGUAGCGGUGAAAUGCGUAGAUAUCGGAAGGAACACCAAUGGCGAAGGCAGCCGCCUGGGCCUGAUCUGACACUGAGACACGAAAGCGUGGGGAUCAAACAGG